rnacentral:rRNA from 1 species
GUCUAUGGCCAUACCACCCUGAACAUGCCUGAUCUUGUCUGAUCUCGGAAGCUAAGUAAGGUCGGGCCUGGUUAGUCCUUGGAUGGGAGACAGUCAGGGAAUGCUGGAUGCUGUAGUCU